AUUGAACGCUGUCGGCAGGCUUAACACAUGCAAGUCGAGCGAGCGGCGGACGGGUGAGUAAUUUCUGGGAAACUGCCUGAUGGCGGGGGAUAACUACUGGAAACGGUAGCUAAUACCGCAUACCAUCAGAUGUUCCCAGAUGGGCUUAGCUAGUAGGUGGGGUAAUGGCUCACCUAGGCGACGAUCCAUAGCUGGUCUGAGAGGAUGACAAGCUACACCGGAACUGAGAUACGGUCCAGACCACGACGGGAGGGAGCAGUGGGGAAGAUUGUACAAUGGGCGCAAGCCUGAUGCAGCCAUGCCGAGUGUGUGAAGAAGGCCUUCGGGUUGUAAAGCACUUUCAGCGAGGAGGCGUUACUCGCAGAAGAAGCACCGGCUAACUCCGUGCCAGCAGCCGCGGUAAUUC
rnacentral:rRNA from 1 species